GUCACGUUACAAAAUUAGCUCUUUAAUUAUUAUUAUAAUUAUUUUUCCUCGGUCUCCAUUUAAAUUCUCUAAUUUCUCGUAUAGGACUACUGGGGUGACGUCAUACCUCGGUGAUGGAACGUACUCCACCUAUCGAGAAUGAUUUCGUUUUCUGAGAGAGUUUGACGUUUACCUUGGCGGAGAAGCGCCUCUCGUUCUUUACUUGACUGUUGGCUGUUGUGUCGAAUAGAGGUACCAUAUAGAAUGGCGGAUGAUUUCAUCCAACUUAUUUUAUAACAUCAAGCAAUUUAAAGUAAAGUAAAAAGUUACCAGCAAGGGUUGUCGAGUUAGGGAGACAUGUGUGUGACAACUCCUGUUGGAGCCAACUAGGAAUCAUUCGCCAUUUGGGAGAAACCCUACCAUGAAGUCAUAGACCUUAUUUGACCACCUAGAGAAACCACUACAGCCACAGUCAAGUCAUCAUGGGAGUAUGUCUAAUUGGGAACAAGCUAUGGGAGCGUUCCAGCUCAAUUUUCGUCUUGGCACCUGGGCCUACAGGAGUCAUGGGGUCGCACCAUCCUGGUGCAUCAUUUUCUAGGAUGCAACCGCAACCUCGUUUGGGAACAUUUAGUGAGGUGUUUUAGUAACUAUUGGUUUUUUUAUAUUUCAGACUAUCUGUUAAAUACACUAUGUUUUUUUCCAGAUUUAGGUUACCUCUGGUUUUUUUUUUGACAUAUUUGUAUAUUAGAUUAUUUGGUUCCCAAACUUUGUAUCUACGGUAACUUCUUGUGCACAGGAAUAAGCCUAGAGAAAAAUUAGGUUUUUAAUACUUUAUUAUUGCUUUGAUAUUGGUUUAUGUAAUUCGGGUAAAUUUAUUUUUUUAAUAUUACUAGCUUGUUUCCCAAAUAUUUUACUGUUAUUGGCUUUAUUCCAUUUGUUCGGUUAAUUUAGGUCAUCGUCGGUAUUUAUCUCAACUUCAUUUCUACUUUAGUCAAUUGUAUAUUUAACUUUAUUUAUUCAUUAUUGUAUUUUCCCUUAGUGAGGCUUGGGCCUAUUUAUUUGUAGUAUUUUCAUCUUUGUCAGUUUCCUUUAGUUGUACGUAGCGGGCGUACUAUAACCAUUUGGUAGAAGACUUAUGUAAUUUUGUACCCUAUAUAUAUGUAAGAGGUAUUUAAGUUUAUAACAGAUAACAUUAUUGUUGUUAUCUUUAAAAAAUAUAUAACUUUUUGUAUAACUUAUGUCAUUUUAGAGUCACAUGAUAUACACUUUGUGUAACUCAGAGAUUGUCAAAAAUCUAGUAGUUAUUUUUAAUAAAUAUGUAUUUAUUUUGUA